CAGGGCCUCGCUGCACACGCUGAGGACAGGACAGGACACACAGGACCAACAUUACCACAUAUCUCACUGCCAGAGGGGGAACACCCCCACAAACCAUUGAUGAAGAACCUAUUACAGAUGGGCCAAUCAGGAAGACUAAGGAUGACAUGAUGACACUCACAGCAGCAGUCGUGUCUGGAUGUCAGGCCAGGAGUCCUGGAGCUGCCGGUCACAGUACAUACGGAACAGAAUACGCAGGCUACAGGCCAGGCUACUGGUCUCCUGCUUUAGCAGAUUGGGCUUCGACUUCCCCUUAAAUCCUGAGAUACAGACAGCCAGACAGACAUAUGAACGUAGAUGGACAUACCACAGAGAUGUCAAGAGAAUCCUGUAUCUCACAUGACAGAUCUGAACACAGACAGUUGAACGCACCUGCUCUCCAGAGUGCAGUCCUCUGCUCGUUGUUAGAGUUGAAAUCUCUGGCGAAGGUGUGUGACUCCAGCAGGCAGUCCAGCAGCUUGAAAAGGUGCUGGGAGGAGAGGUGUCUGUACAUGCCUUGCUCCCCCUGCCCAGGGUCCCCUUCCUCUGCAGCCUCCUCCAGAGUAUCCCUCUGGGAGAGACAUAGCACAGAGUCUAGGUCAAUCCUCCAACAACAUACAGUACACCCAAAACACCCUACUAAGUUGAUGCAUAAAUGCCCUGAUUAAAUGUGAAUAAGGUUCAAGACUUCAGUUUCGAGCCAUUGUAGUUUAGCUCCAUUAUGACAAACCUGUGCAGCAGCCAUAUUUUCGGCAUCUUCCUUCUUGCUGGUUGCCGGGUAGAAGACAAUGUUGUCAAUGGUCUGGAUCAGCUCCAGCUGCACCACACACUUAAUGAGCAGUCCAGCAAACAGCUUCUGGUCUGACACUCCUGCCACAGACACAGAGCACACCGGCAUCAGGAAGAUAGAUAGGAACCCACGAGAGACUGAGGUCAAAUGUGGAAAAGUGGAACACGACAAGGAGGAUGAGGGCUCGGUCAUAGCUGCUCUGGGAUUGGGUGUCAAAAUCUACAUCCUGUAGUAUGUUUGUGAGAGAAAACAACUCAUGACACGAACAAACGGCAAGAUAUUUAUUUUCAAAAGUCAAAUCACUGCCAUAUACUCAUGUAUGUCUAUAGUCAGGCUCAAAAGCUUUAAUUUGACUGUCUGAAGCUUCAUAAAUAUUGUUUGCCCACCAUAUGUUUCCCAUCACCAGCCUCCUCUUCCUGACCAGCUGGUCGCCAUGUCAACAGGCUGUAGAGAGGAGAAAAAAAGAAUGUGCACAUCAUCAGUCAUGUGGUCUAUUGGAGGAAGGGUUUCCUGUGUCGAUGACUUACCAUGGCCUGCUGAAAGAUCUGCUCAUGACUACAUCUGACAUCAGACUUGUUCUUGCAAUGCAACGCAAAUACAAGAUCAGCAUUUCUUACUAUAACAGUGCGUUUUCUGUUUAUGUGUGCAAAUAAAUAUUUAAAAACACA